UAAGCAUAUCAAUAAGCGGAGGAAAAGAAACCAACAGGGAUUGCUCUAGUAACGGCGAGUGAAGCAGCAAUAGCUCAAAUUUGAAAUCUGGCGUCUUCGACGUCCGAGUUGUAAUUUGUAGAGGAUGCUUCUGAGUAACCACCGACCUAAGUUCCUUGGAACAGGACGUCAUAGAGGGUGAGAAUCCCGUAUGCGGUCGGAAAGGUGCUCUAUACGUAGCUCCUUCGACGAGUCGAGUUGUUUGGGAAUGCAGCUCUAAAUGGGAGGUAAAUUUCUUCUAAAGCUAAAUAUUGGCCAGAGACCGAUAGCGCACAAGUAGAGUGAUCGAAAGAUGAAAAGCACUUUGGAAAGAGAGUUAAAAAGCACGUGAAAUUGUUAAAAGGGAAGGGAUUGCAACCAGACUUGCUCGCGGUGUUCCGCCGGUCUUCUGACCGGUCUACUCGCCGCGUUGCAGGCCAGCAUCGUCUGGUGCCGCUGGAUAAGACUUGAGGAAUGUAGCUCCCUCGGGAGUGUUAUAGCCUCUUGUGAUGCAGCGAGCGCCGGGCGAGGUCCGCGCUUCGGCUAGGAUGCUGGCGUAAUGGUCGUAAUCCGCCCGUCUUGAAACACGGACCAAGGAGUCUAACAUCUAUGCGAGUGUUCGGGUGUCAAACCCCUACGCGUAAUGAAAGUGAACGGAGGUGAGAACCGCAAGGUGCAUCAUCGACCGAUCCUGAUGUCUUCGGAUGGAUUUGAGUAAGAGCAUAGCUGUUGGGACCCGAAAGAUGGUGAACUAUGCCUGAAUAGGGUGAAGCCAGAGGAAACUCUGGUGGAGGCUCGCAGCGGUUCUGACGUGCAAAUCGAUCGUCAAAUUUGGGUAUAGGGGCGAAAGACUAAUCGAACCAUCUAGUAGCUGGUUCCUGCGAA
rnacentral:rRNA from 1 species